rnacentral:rRNA from 1 species
UACGUAGGGUGCGAGCGUUAAUCGGAAUUACUGGGCGUAAAGCGUGCGCAGGCGGCGCGUUAAGACAGGUGUGAAAGCCCCGAGCUUAACUUGGGAAUUGCGCUUGUGACUGGCGAGCUGGAGUGUGGCAGAGGGAGGUGGAAUUCCACGUGUAGCAGUGAAAUGCGUAGAGAUGAUGGGAGGAACACCGAUGGCGAAGGCAGCCUCCUGGGCCAGCACUGACGCUCAUGCACGAAAGCGUGGGGAGCAAACAGG